rnacentral:lncRNA from 1 species
UUUUUUCUCUCCUUUUCCCUUUUUUCUCUCUUUUCUUCUUCCCCCCUUCUUCCUUUCUUCCCCCCUCAUGGUGUGCGAGUGUGCCCCAGCUUGAGCGCUAGCUGCCGACUGCAAGGCCAGCUAAAUGUUUCAGCUUCAGUCAAUCACGUCCGCAGAUUCUAAAACAAUUGGAGCCAAUCACGUUCGCACAGUCGAAAACAUUUCACCAAUCACGGCAGAAAUCCUGGAGAGCGACGUCAGGCACACGGCAGAAAUUCUGGAGGGCGACGUUACAUUGCUUACGCUAGACCUGAGGGGGCGGGUAAUUCAAAGAGUGAAGCUAGCCGGAUGCUUAAGGAAUCAACCGAGGCAGAUUAUCGACAUGGUGUCAAACCCCCGUAUCGGGGUGGAGUCGUUGCUGGUGACGGUCAUCAGAAAAGCACCAGCCCAGCAGAAGGCAGGGAGAGCCAGAGUCUGGCCGGGGAAGUGCUUCAGACUCUAGACAGAGAAGGCCUACAAGACAUAAAUGCAGUUGGAAAUUCCUCGUGGAGGAGAGCUGCGCGUCAUCGGAGUGCUACUUGGGAGCGUUCCUGGUGGAUGGACCAGCGCAGAACCGUCUCCACGCUUGAAAGUGACAAAGCGGGUCCCUGCCACACUGGCCGGUAGCGACUUGCUGUCUGGAUUGUAUACUGGAUUGGGAUGACUCCUCUUUGGUGUGGGUUGAUCUAUUGCAGUGUUUUUUUUUCUGUGGAUUCUAUAUGUGGGGCGUGGUUUAAGUAUUGCAAACUGAUAAUACCUUUUGGGGGGAAGGCAUGUAUCUUGCUUUUGUGUGGACAUUGUGUGGGGGUUUUCAUGUUAGACAUGGUUGGUGGGGUUAGUGGGGUUCUAUGUACAGUGAAUCUGUGCCUACAGUCCUGUAUCCAGUCUGCUUGUGGCAAAUAAACAUUUGUAUAACCAUUUCUGAUUCUGAGUG